GCGAAGGUGGCUGAAUUGGUAGACGCGCUAGCUUCAGGUGUUAGUGUUCUUACGGACGUGGGGGUUCAAGUCCCCCCCCUCGCACCA
rnacentral:tRNA from 1 species